GUCGCAAAUUGAUCCAUUCAGCAAAGAAACUUGUAGGUUCAGUAGAAAUUCUUAACUUUCAUACGCAUCUUUUAGAAUAAAAAACUAACAUUGUCUUCGUUGGUUUUUAACGAGCUAAUGUAGGCUCGUGACCAUGCAAAAAUAUUUUCAAAGUGUCCUAAGUGAGUAAGUUGCAUGAGAAGGCUUAUGAAAAAUUCUGAAUUUGUAUUCGAGUUAUUUUCCAUCACAUUUGUAGGUUGUUUAAUUAGAAAAUAUGCAAUUAUACUUUCCUUAAAUGUGAUGCACUCUCCAUUUUCCGUAGGGUGUUCGGUUAUGCAGUCCGCUCAUAUGCAUG
rnacentral:lncRNA from 1 species